GGACGUAGACGGCCACGGGCGGCGGCAGCUGGCGUGGGUCGUGGAGGUACGCGCCCGAGCGCGAGCACGGAGGGGCGGCGUGGCGCGGCGGCCGAUGGCCUCGCGGCGGCGGCCUUCUCGCGCGGAGGUACGGGAGAGAGGAAGAAGGGAGGGGAAGGAGGCCAAGAUAAAGAGUGGAGGGAGAGAGAGAGAAAACGUCCUUCGCCUUCGGUACCGGCGGCGGGGCGCGGCCGGCCGGUAGCCUCGCGGCGACGACCUGGUUGCGCGGCGGGACGGGAGGAGAGGAAGAGGGGGGAGGGAGGCCAAGAUAGAGAGUGGAGGGAGAGAGAGAGAGGAAACGUCUUUCGGUGCCGGCGGCCUGGAGGUGCGGAGGCGCUCGGGCGGCGGCCGGACACUGGAGAUGCGACGGAGGUCAGGAGAGGCCUGAGGAGGCAGCAUAAGAAGAGUAAGAGGCUGCGACGGUUCAAGCGGGCUCCUUCUUCGCAGCUCAAGCGGCCUCCUUGUUCUUGUAGGCAGGUCGGCAGGUAACAGCGGACUCGAUGUGGUCUC
rnacentral:rRNA from 1 species